rnacentral:rRNA from 1 species
CGAUCCGUGAGGGAUUGGAGAAACGGGUCCUUUCGCGAGGAGAGGCCGCAAAAAUCAACCGUUCGACUGGCGAUCUAUCGAUUGGCGAGACUCUAAAAGCUCAUCGGUUGGCUAAUAAUCGUCUCGGAUGGUGCACUUUUUGUGGCGCGCGUCGCGAUCGAGAUUUCGGUUCGAAACAAGAGUCAACUCGAAGACGGAGCCGUGUGUUCCGCGCCUAAGUUGACUCGGACGUCGAUACUGGAUCUCGGUUUGCUUUUACGAUGACAACGGUGUUUCAUCGAGUUCGAACUCCGUUUCGUUCGGGUCGGUCCGAAAUGUUGGUAGCUUGCACGCAGGCUCCGACGACCCCCGGCGCUACGCGAUUCGGUUUCGACUCGUGUUUGUUAUCCGCUCCGCGACGUCCGCGGCGGCCGCUUACCCGACCCGUCUUGAAACACGGACCAAGGAGUCUAACAUGUGCGCGAGUCGUCGGGACGAUAGAAACCCGUACGGCGCAAUAAAAGUGAAAGUGAUCUCACGAUCGCGUUAGAUACGAUCUCGUCUCUUCGGAGGCGAGCGGAGUAUUGUCCCGUCCGAGCGGUACGUCCGCUGGGCGGAGAUAGAGCGUAAAUGUUGGGACCCGAAAGAUGGUGAACUAUGCUCGAGCAGAACGAAGCCAGAGGAAACUCUGGUGGAGGUUCGUAGCGGUUCUGACGUGCAAAUCGAUCGUCAGACUUGGGUAUAGGGGCGAAAGACUAAUCGAACCAUCAGUAUGGGUUCCCUCCUUCCAAA